UACGAAGGGUGCAAGCGUUAAUCGGAAUUACUGGGCGUAAAGGGUGCGUAGGCGGUUCGUUAAGUCUGUCGUGAAAUCCCCGGGCUCAACCUGGGAAUGGCGAUGGAUACUGGCGAGCCAGAGUGUGUCAGAGGAUGGUGGAAUUCCCGGUGUAGCGGUGAAAUGCGUAGAGAUCGGGAGGAACAUCAGUGGCGAAGGCGGCCAUCUGGGACAACACUGACGCUGAAGCACGAAAGCGUGGGGAGCAAACAGG
rnacentral:rRNA from 1 species